UAGUCAACUCGUCGACUGUAAUUCUCGUGUUCUCUGCGCAUGAGUGUUUAUAUUCAUGAAUGGUCGCCAAGCAUUCGUUAUAAUCUCUAAUACAAUACACACAAAUAUCACGAAUUUCAUUUCUGUAGUUUUGUUAAUUAUUUUCGAUACUAAUUAAUAUAUAAAUCAUCAGAGAAAUCAAGUCAUUUCAAUAUCAAGUAUUAAUGAGUGAUAAUCAUGGUGCGAAAAUCAAAAAAUUUGAAAAGUGUUGCGGUUCAAACAAAUUUGACAUCCGAGGAUUUUGAUGACAAAGAUUCGAUUGUUUUGAAAGAUUCGACAAUAAAAUCAACAAACAAUUGCAAAACAAUAACAAUAAAACAAAAACCAAAAAGGAAAAGUUAUUCGUAUGAAGAAAAAUUGAAAGUUAUAAAAUUACUUAAAUACAAAUCUACCGAUAAAGUUAGCGAGGAACUAGAUAUUGAUAAGUCGCUACUGUGUAGAUGGGCUAGAGAUGAAUCAAAAAUAAAAGAAUUUAACGCUCAUAAUCACAAUAAAAAACUUAAGAAAGGCAGGAGUGCUGCUAAUGAAGAGAUGGAAGAAAGACUAUUUGCUUGGUUCUGUGAAAACCGCGCUGAUAAUAUUCCAAUCACUGGUAAUUCCAUUAAAAAAGAAGCAUUAAGAUUGAGUGAAGAAUUAGGCGAUUCCUCUUUUAAGGCGAGUGCCGGUUGGUUAGCUCGAUGGAAAAAACGAUAUACAAUUAAAUUACAGCCUGUCAGUGAUUAAUCUCGAUCAAAAUUAAUAUUUUGAUGAACCUCCUGUUGAUUAUUUGUAACCAUUGAAGAAUAUUCUGACCCAGGAUUCAAAAAAGAUAAAAAUCUUACAAGGACACAAAAUUCCACUGACUUUGAGAUCAUAAAUAUUGUCAUUGGCAGCCACAGUCUCUAUACAACGAACUACAACUUUGCUAUGGUAUACUUGUACAGCCGCAGCCUGAUACAAAAAGUUGCCAGCAAAUCGCUUGCAUAAAAUUGAACAAAAAGUUGCUUUUAAAUUGACCAGCAAGUUGACAUCAACUGAUACGCGCGCCAACUUAUUACAUUCAACAGCAGUAAGUUGAAACUUCCGGCUUACCAUCAACUUGUUAUCGGGGAAGAUGAACUAAAACUCGUGAACUGAAAGACAUUUAGUCCAUCGAUUGCCAGAAAUUCAUGGAAAUCAAAGUAAUAUUUGAACACUGGGAAUUUCCUAGACUUGGUAUGAAAAAGUUUAUUUUGCGAGUGACAAUUUUUGGAAGCUAAUAGAUGUCAAAGUUGGAGGCAUUCAAGUUUUCGUUCGUCACCUAAAGUAAUUUCUACUUCAAAAUCUAGACCAGGGGAUUAGGCACGAAAAGUUACUUGUGAAUCUCAAUUUACGAGGGGCAAGAUCAGGAAAUGUCGGAACUGUUUCAUUAAGAAAAAUAAUACUCUGGUUGGCUGAAGUAUGAGAGAAAAUAUCUCCUAGGAUCCACAAGACUGAUGGAAAUGUAGAUCUGUCUUAGAUUCAAUUAUCGCAGAGUGAAACAGUAAAAAGCAGGGUCAAAAAAAUGUAGUGAGAGAAAGUGAAUAUUUGCUGGUGAUUUUAUAAAUUAAUUAUAUAGAGGUCUAUGAAACUGGCACUGACUAGAGAACUCAAUCAAGGAUAAUAAGAUUCAUCUGCCGGCAAUUAAUUAUAAUCGCGUGUGAUAUAGCUAAAGAUUUAGGGCUCUUUUGUUGCUGUCAUUACUUGUAAUAAUUCUACAUUAUACAUUGACAUUCAUUUGGGUAUUAAAUGUAAAAACGUAAAUUUAAAUUUAAUCAAUAGGAGGUUUAUUGGACUUGAGAAAAUUCGUACUAUCAUGGGCCAGUUUUACAAUCUGAGAUUUUAUUAAUUUUAAAGUUAAUUAUUAUUUAAUUGCUGGUAUUUUAUAUUUACAAUAUAUAUAAAUAUACUAGGAAUAUUAAUAAAAUCUCGGAUUAAAAAACUGGCCAAAGUCAUCAUAACUUAUAAGUAUGGACAAGAUUUUUGUCUUAACUUCGAAAUGAAUGGUUCAAAUUUUUAAUACUAUGGCGAAAAUAUUGGUCUGAUAAAAAAACUUUUUAAACAAAAGUUGUAGGAAAUUUAUUUUUAUAAAAAAAAUGUCUCUU